rnacentral:rRNA from 1 species
GGCUCAGAUUGAACGCUGGCGGAAUGCUUUACACAUGCAAGUCGAACGGUAACAGGUCUUCGGAUGCUGACGAGUGGCGAACGGGUGAGUAAUAUAUCGGAACGUGCCCAGUCGUGGGGGAUAACGCAGCGAAAGCUGUGCUAAUACCGCAUACGAUCUAUGGAUGAAAGCGGGGGAUCGCAAGACCUCGCGCGAUUGGAGCGGCCGAUAUCAGAUUAGGUUGUUGGUGGGGUAAAAGCCCACCAAGCCGACGAUCUGUAGCUGGUCUGAGAGGACGACCAGCCACACUGGGACUGAGACACGGCCCAGACUCCUACGGGAGGCAGCAGUGGGGAAUUUUGGACAAUGGGCGAAAGCCUGAUCCAGCAAUGCCGCGUGCAGGAUGAAGGCCUUCGGGUUGUAAACUGCUUUUGUACGGAACGAAACAGUCUUUCUAAUACAGGAGACUAAUGACGGUACCGUAAGAAUAAGCACCGGCUAACUACGUG